UGUAUGGAUUAGUGGCGGACGGGUGAGUAACGCGUGGAUAACCUGCCGUAUACAGGGGGAUAACACUUAGAAAUAGGUGCUAAUACCGCAUAAGCGCACGGUUCCGCAUGGAACAGUGUGAAAAACUCCGGUGGUAUACGAUGGAUCCGCGUCUGAUUAGCCAGUUGGCGGGGUAACGGCCCACCAAAGCGACGAUCAGUAGCCGGCCUGAGAGGGUGAACGGCCACAUUGGGACUGAGACACGGCCCAAACUCCUACGGGAGGCAGCAGUGGGGAAUAUUGCACAAUGGGGGAAACCCUGAUGCAGCGACGCCGCGUGAGUGAAGAAGUAUUUCGGUACGUAAAGCUCUAUCAGCAGGGAAGAAAAAAAGUCCUUUGGACUUUGGACGGUACCUGACUAAGAAGCCCCGGCUAACUACGUGCCAGCAGCCGCGGUAAUACGUAGGGGGCAAGCGUUAUCCGGAUUUACUGGGUGUAAAGGGAGCGUAGACGGCAGCGCAAGUCUGGAGUGAAAUGCCGGGGCCCAACCCCGGAACUGCUUUGGAAACUGUGCAGCUGGAGUGCAGGAGAGGUAAGCGGAAUUCCUAGUGUAGCGGUGAAAUGCGUAGAUAUUAGGAGGAACACCAGUGGCGAAGGCGGCUUACUGGACUGUAACUGACGUUGAGGCUCGAAAGCGUGGGGAGCAAACAGGAUUAGAUACCCUGGUAGUCCACGCCGUAAACGAUGAUUACUAGGUGUCGGGGGGUCAAGGCCCUCCGGUGCCGCCGCAAACGCAUUAAGUAAU
rnacentral:rRNA from 1 species